AUUGAACGCUGGCGGCAGGCCUAACACAUGCAAGUCGAACGAGCGGCGGACGGGUGAGUAAUGUCUGGGAAUCUGCCCGAUAGAGGGGGAUAACUACUGGAAACGGUAGCUAAUACCGCAUACUAUCAGAUGAACCCAUAUGGGAUUAGCUUGUAGGUGGGGUAAAGGCUCACCUAGGCGACGAUCUCUAGCUGGUCUGAGAGGAUGAUCAGCCACACUGGGACUGAGACACGGCCCAGACUCCUACGGGAGGCAGCAGUGGGGAAUAUUGCACAAUGGGAGCAAGCCUGAUGCAGCCAUGCCGCGUGUAUGAAGAAGGCCUUAGGGUUGUAAAGUACUGUCAGCGGGGAGGCGUUACCCGCAGAAGAAGAACCGGCUAACUCCGUGCCAGCAGCCGCGGUAAUAC
rnacentral:rRNA from 1 species